GAUGAGCUCGCGGCCUAUCAGCUUGUUGGUGGGGUAACGGCCCACCAAGGCAACGACGGGUAGCCGGCCUGAGAGGGUGACCGGCCACACUGGGACUGAGACACGGCCCAGACUCCUACGGGAGGCAGCAGUGGGGAAUAUUGGACAAUGGGCGAAAGCCUGAUCCAGCAACGCCGCGUGAGGGAUGACGGCCUUCGGGUUGUAAACCUCUUUCAGUAGGGACGAAGCGCAAGUGACGGUACCUACAGAAGAAGCACCGGCCAACUACGUGCCAGCAGCCGCGGUAAUACGUAGGGUGCGAGCGUUGUCCGGAAUUAUUGGGCGUAAAGGGCUCGUAGGCGGUCUGUCGCGUCGAAAGUGAAAACCCAGGGCUUAACCCUGGGCCUGCUUCCGAUACGGGCAGACUAGAGGUAUGCAGGGGAGAACGGAAUUCCUGGUGUAGCGGUGAAAUGCGCAGAUAUCAGGAGGAACACCGGUGGCGAAGGCGGUUCUCUGGGCAUUACCUGACGCUGAGGAGCGAAAGUGUGGGGAGCGAACAGGAUUAGAUACCCUGGUAGUCCACACCGUAAACGUUGGGCGCUAGGUGU
rnacentral:rRNA from 1 species